rnacentral:lncRNA from 11 species
GGGGCACCUCCGAUCCCCCCACAAAAGCCUCCUCAGUCUCCUCCUCCUCUUGCUCCCCUCCCUCCCUCCCUCCUCUCCCGGAAGCCAGAGCUGCUGAGAAAGAGAGGAGGGGGUCUCCCUUCCUCCCCGGAUUGGUCGGCGGCCCCCUCUCCCUGAGCGUCGAAGGAGGCGCUGAUUGGCCGCUCCAUCUUGUCACUCGGGCGAGGGCCAAGUUCUACCGCGGGCUGGGCGUGCGGACGGGGACUGCUGCUGCUGCUGCUGGUGGUGCAGCUGCGGCGAGAGCGAGCGGGACCGAGAGGCAGCGCGAGCACCAGAGCCAGAGGCGUGAUGCUGGCGAAAUGGGGAGCCGGGCAACAGAGGAUGCGGGGACUCCGCUGAAGGCGCGGCGGGGGCUGCCCAGACGCCGCCUCCGACAUUCUGGUUCUUGCAAUGGGAUUUAUAAAAGAAAAAGCCGAAGCAAGAUCUUCUGAUCAUCAGUGGCAGCUUGUCUUUAUAGAAUUGCAAGUUGUUUCACAGUUUCUUAUCUUCAAUAGAUCUGUAUUAAAGCUUUUUGUGAAAUGAAUAUUUGUUUCUCUGUUAUUGUUUAGUAGGUUAAUAGAUUAUAAAGCAAAAAAGAAAGAGACGUCUCUGGUUA